AGGAUGAACGCUAGCUACAGGCUUAACACAUGCAAGUCGAGGGGAAACGAUAUUGGAAGCUUGCUUCUGAUAGGCGUCGACCGGCGCACGGGUGAGUAACGCGUAUCCAACCUGCCCAUCACUUGGGGAUAACCUUGUGAAAGUAAGACUAAUACCCAAUGACGUCUCUAGAAGACAUCUGAAAGAGAUUAAAGAUUUAUCGGUGAUGGAUGGGGAUGCGUCUGAUUAGCUUGUUGGCGGGGUAACGGCCCACCAAGGCGACGAUCAGUAGGGGUUCUGAGAGGAAGGUCCCCCACAUUGGAACUGAGACACGGUCCAAACUCCUACGGGAGGCAGCAGUGAGGAAUAUUGGUCAAUGGGCGAGAGCCUGAACCAGCCAAGUAGCGUGCAGGAUGACGGCCCUAUGGGUUGUAAACUGCUUUUAUAAGGGAAUAAAGUGAGUCUCGUGAGACUUUUUGCAUGUACCUUAUGAAUAAGGACCGGCUAAUUCCGUG
rnacentral:rRNA from 1 species